rnacentral:tRNA from 1 species
GCCUGGUUCGCUCAGUUGGAAGAGCGUAUGACUCUUGAUCUCAGGGUUGUGAGUUGGAGCCCCACAUUAGGUG